AAGUCGUAACAAGGUAUCCGUAGGUGAACCUGAGGAUGGAUCAUUAACACUAACAAAACAAAACCUUUGCUUUUCCUAAAAACAAAAGCAAUAACCCCAUAACUUUGCGAACUUGUCAACGGGGGAGAGGGAGGGAGGAUGGGAGGGGUUUGUGAGGGCUGCGUGCUCUCGCGUUUCUCCUUUCUUCUUCUUCUUUUUCUUCUUUCCCGUUCGUUUUUUCCUUCUCCUUUUCACCUUAUUCUAUCAAAACCCCAUCAAAUUAUUUGAUGAAUCGAAAAAAACAAAAACAAACUUGACUAAGACAUAAAACAAAUGAGAAAAACAAAAUAAUACAACUUUUAACGACGGAUCUCUUGGCUCUC
rnacentral:misc_RNA from 1 species